rnacentral:rRNA from 1 species
AGCGAACGCUGGCGGCAGGCCUAACACAUGCAAGUCGAACGAACCUUUCGGGGUUAGUGGCGGACGGGUGAGUAACACGUGGGAACGUGCCUUUAGGUUCGGAAUAACUCAGGGAAACUUGUGCUAAUACCGAAUGUGCCCUUCGGGGGAAAGAUUUAUCGCCUUUAGAGCGGCCCGCGUCUGAUUAGCUAGUUGGUUGAGGUAAUGGCUCACCAAGGCGACGAUCAGUAGCUGGUCUGAGAGGAUGAUCAGCCACAUUGGGACUGAGACACGGCCCAAACUCCUACGGGAGGCAGCAGUGGGGAAUCUUGCGCAAUGGGAGAAAGCCUGACGCAGCCAUGCCGCGUGAAUGAUGAAGGUCUUAGGAUUGUAAAAUUAUUUCACCGGGGACGAUAAUGACGGUACCCGGAGAAGAAGCCCCGGCUAACUUCGUG